GAUGAACGCUGGCGGCGUGCCUAAUACAUGCAAGUCGAGCGAACAGACGAGGAGCUUGCUCCUCUGACGUUAGCGGCGAACGGGGGAGUAACACGUGGAUAACCUACCUAUAAGACUGGGAUAACUUCGUGAAACCGGAGCUAAUACCGGAUAAUAUAUUGAACCGCAUGGUUCAAUAGUGAAAGACGGUUUUGCUGUCACUUAUAGAUGGAUCCGCGCCGCAUUAGCUAGUUGGUAAGGUAACGGCUUACCAAGGCAACGAUGCGUAGCCGACCUGAGAGGGUGAUCGGCCACACUGGAACUGAGACACGGUCCAGACUCCUACGGGAGGCAGCAGUAGGGAAUCUUCCGCAAUGGGCGAAAGCCUGACGGAGCAACGCCGCGUGAGUGAUGAAGGUCUUCUGAUCGUAAAACUCUGUUAUUAGGGAAGAACAAAUGUGUAAGUAACUAUGCACGUCUUGACGGUACCUAAUCAGAAAGCCACGGCUAACUACGUG
rnacentral:rRNA from 1 species